rnacentral:rRNA from 1 species
UACGGAGGGUGCGAGCGUUGUCCGGAAUCACUGGGCGUAAAGGGCGCGUAGGUGGCGCGGGCAGUCAACGGUGAAAGUUCGGGGCUCAACCCUGAAUCGGCCGUCGAUACUCCCGUGCUUGAGCACUGUAGAGGCAGAUGGAAUUCCGGGUGUAGCGGUGGAAUGCGUAGAGAUCCGGAAGAACACCGGUGGCGAAGGCGGCAUCCUGGACCGGCAUUGACGCUGAGGCGCGAAAGCUAGGGGAGCAAACGGGG